rnacentral:lncRNA from 1 species
AAACAGUCGAGUAAGGCUACAGUCACAUUCAAUCCACACAUACUGAAAUGCGUGAACUGUUCCUUCACUUAAAGCACUCUAACAGGUGUGGACUGUUUCAUGUACUUACAUCAUCGAAAUUUGCUGCUUAAGAAGUAAUAUCGUCCAUUCCUCUUUUUACUUCUCAGUGGCAAAUCUAGUGAAAAAUAUCAAUUCUCCUCUCAACACUGACCCCUAGAGCUUUU